GAUACCUGAAACUGCUAUUCAUGUCCCCUCUCAGUCUUUGCUCUUUUCCAAACUAAACACCCAAUUCCUUCAGCCCUCCUUCAUAGGUCGUGUUCUCAAGACUUUUAAU